AAAAGCAGGGGAUCGCAAGACCUUGCGCUCUUGGAGCGGCCGAUGUCUGAUUAGCUAGUUGGUGAGGUAAAGGCUUACCAAGGCGACGAUGAGUAGCUGGUCUGAGAGGACGACCAGCCACACUGGGACUGAGACACGGCCCAGACUCCUACGGGAGGCAGCAGUGGGGAAUUUUGGACAAUGGGGGAAACCCUGAUCCAGCCAUGCCGCGUGAGUGAAGAAGGCCUUCGGGUUGUAAAGCUCUUUCAGCCGGAACGAAACGGUCACGGUUAAUACCCGUGACAACUGACGGUACCGGAAGAAGAAG
rnacentral:rRNA from 1 species